CUUGGGGCGAACUGCUUUCGGAGUUCUUGCUUGAAGUCGGCCCAAGUGUCGAUGGCGCAAAUGCCCUUGCCCAUCUCGCCAUGCUUGCGACUGCACUUGUGCCAUGCCCAAUCUGAGCGGACUUCAUCCACUUCCGCACGGACAGCGCGUAGUUCGUCUUGAACAAAACUACGAAUUUUGAGCAACUCAUCAUGGAAAGAACGAAACUCACCUCGGAGAAUGUUCGCUUGCUCAUGGAUGAGAGCUUUUGUGGCCACCGUGAACUCGGCGUAUUCUCCCUCGAGACCAUCCACUCUUUCCUCCAAUCCCACGAGGCUAUCUUGAGCGGCGGACAAUGCUAUUUCGAGAGUGCCUACACGAGGCUCCAACGCAUCCACGGAUAGGGCCUUGGACUUGCCGCGAGUCUUGCCUUGGGCGCGUUCUCCCUCUCGGCCACGGCUUGGUUCCGGUGGAACAUCCACACCAACAACACCCUCUUGUGCUACGUUCGAAGGGUUGGCCAUUGCUUCGUGAGCUAAUUUGCGUGCGUGCAAACCUUAGCUCUGAUACCACUUGUCACGGGAUGAGUGUUUUGCGCAGCUAACCCGUGCGGCACGUAGACAACUUUGCCGAAUGUUGCUAAGUAAGCCUAGAGAUUCUCAAACAAGAGAAGAGAGCAGAGCUUCUCGAACUAGAGAAAAGAGCAAUUGAGCCAAAGAAGAAAACUUGUAUUGCACAAAGAGAGAAUACAAUGCUUGAGUUGCUUACAAUGUUUGUUGGAUACAAAUGCCUAACUUCCGGAAUUGGGCCAAGCUAGCACUCUUGGCCUUGUGUUGGCUCUCUAGCCCGAAAUUGUGGGCAAUUGGGCUAGCGAAUUGGGCGGUCCGCAACAUUAUGAUGUUGUUAGAAUCAGGUUGGUUAAGAUGGCAAUUUGAUUAAUGAAAAAAUUUUUAUCCGACCACGAUGUUAAAGCAGGGUAAAUUUCUCAUUACAUUAAUUUCUUCAUUGGCAUGUACAGCAAUCAGGUAUUUGCUCUGUGGCCCUUGCUAAUUUGGAACUGCUCUCGAAGGCGAAAAUGAGUCAUUAAUACCCGAACACAAAUAAUAAGCUCUCCACCAAUAGAAACUUGAUGGGCAUGUGUCCAUGCAAUGCAUUGACUUGCUGGACUUGACAACAUUCCACCUUCACUUACUGAAAAAGUUUCAAAUGUAAAGACUUGCAAUGCUAGAAAAUUCAGCAAAUUUUUGAAGGAAAGAGUUUAAUUAAAACCAAAUCCGUUGAAGUUUAUUAGGGAUAAUAUCCCCCAUAUGACUUAUGUUAAUUAAAUAUGUAAGGCUUGAACAACCUUCAACUCUUGAACUAUCUUUUGAGCUGAGUUAGGUACAUAGGCUUCCAUAAAAUUCACCCAUGAAACAAUCAUACUUGAAUUUAAUACAUGGGAGGUACUGUUAUUUGUUCUGGAUGAUGCAGCACAUGGGCAACUAAUGGUGGGAGCUUAUUUGUUUUAUGUAACAUAUGGGGAAAAAAAAGGUGAGGCGGUUAAAAAGUAAAUAAAAGGAAAAGAAGAAGCUUGAAACAGGGGAAUAGAUACACACGUGUAAGAGAGUGAAAGAAGUUGUAACCCGACCCGUUUGACCCGAAAAUCGACUCGGUCGUAUGUUGUGGUUCUGGCCGCCCCACCGGUCAAGCUUGGUACCAAUCUGAAGCUUGAAGACCGGCCAUCAUACCCCAGUCAUCCACGUCGCCGGAAAACCUAGAACGUCAGUGACCAAAGCUUGAAAAACCCGCGACUUUUCCACCUUGUUCUGCCGGGAUUUUCGCUGGUUUUGGGUGACACCACUGGCUUGAUUUUGUUCCCCACGACUCCCUUUUGAUUUUCCAACCAUCCACAGCCAUCGAGAGUAGUCGAUUUGCAGUGGUUUUGCAAUUGUAAUUACACCGCUGUCGAGCUAGAUUCUGGUGUCGUCGCCACGCGUGGGAGCACACUGCCCGUAUCAUUGAACUCAGCUCAGCGAGAAGUGUCUGACCUGAGCUUCCCGGUCACUGUUACUUGAAUUACGACCACCGUUGACCAGCGAGGGCAAUUCGGUAAUUUCACAUUUUGAGGGCGAUUUUGUAAUUUUGAGCCUGCAGAUAUUUUAGUAAUUCCUGAAAUUGAGGAUUUGGUGUAAUUACGAUUCCGAGGGUAAUUCGGAAAUUUACGAUUUUGGAGAUUUUGUUAAUUCUAUUGACACAGGAGUUGCAAAUUAUGGAUAGAUGUUUGUUUCUAGUUUAUUGCAUAAAUUUAGUCCUAAUACUGAUUUACGGAAAAUAAUUAUGUCAUUUUCUUGAUUUAGGAGGAUCCGCUAGCGAGAACCAGUCUGCAAACGUGGACGAUAACUGAACGUGAACAUCAUCACUGUGAAUGAAAUAUACAAAACCUAUUUUCAUAGUUAAUUAUGAUAGUAAAGCAUGUUUGCGAAAUAAGUAUUUUAAAUGUUCUGAUUUAAUAUUUUUUUGAAAUGGAUUUAAUUCACGCAUUGAUAUUUUAUUGAAAUGUUUGAUUAAUGAUUUUAUGUAUCAACUUUGGAUAAUAUAUGAUAGUAUUUUAAAGAUAAGAAAAGUGGAUUUAGACGUGAUGAUGAAAAGAAAAGUAUGAUUUAAAGUAUGGUUAAAAUGUAUAUGAAUAGGAGUAUAGAGAUUGUUUUUAAAAUCAUUGGACAGUACUCUUCCCUUUAGAUACUAUGAUACAGAUGAGAUGAAAGGCCUUUGGGGCCCGUCUGAAAACACAUAGAGACUUUGAGCCGUGUUUGGGCGCUUCUGCCUUUUGGGGGUAUAUGCAUGUGAUAUGAUGGUAACAGUGAUACAGAUACAAAUGAUACAGAUGAUAUACAGGCCUUUUGGUCUCGUCUGAGUACACACAGAGGAUUUGGGCCGUGUGCUUGAGCGCUUUUUUUCUUUGGGGACUAGAUUAUGCAUGCACAUAUAUGAUGAGAUAUGAGAUGAUAUUUCCUUGUCUAUCUGUGUAGCUCCGAGGCGUGACGGUACCUAGAUAGUACAUUAUUGCCCGUCCGUUGAGGUCAAAAUACGACGAGAUUAUUCCCUUGGGUACUCAUUUAUUGAUGAUUUUCAGAUUUGUGUAUUCUAUAUGAUAUUGUGAUAUGAUUUCUAUGGUUAUUGGGUACAAUAUUAUAUAUGUUUUUCAAGGUUAAUAAUAUGAUUUAAAUGUUAAAUGAUUUAUUACUGGUUUCGAGCAUAUGGUUUGAUGAAAUAGUGUUUGGAAAUGAUAUGAUUAUUUCUUUUAAAGUAAAAAUUUGUUUUCAAAAAUUACUAUCCACUUAUUGAGCUCACUUUAUUAUAUUAUCUCCCUCCAACAGGAGAUUGUAGGUACACCAGACCGACCUAGCGACUGUAAAUAUAUUUUGAUUUUUGGCCACGUGAUGGUGUUAGAAGAUAUAGAUGAUUUUUUUGUUAGGACAUCCUUAUCAUCUCACCCUUUUGGGAUUGUAUAAUUUUGUUAGAUUAUUUUUUUGGGAUUAAGAAUAAACUAAUAUAUAUUAAUAUUAAUUAUAAUAAAAUAUUUUAAUAUUCUGGAGAUAUCUUGAGUAAAACUCAACAUUUUCAUUGAGGAUGUUGAUCAUUGGAGUUGCUUGUAUAUUGAAUUAUUUUGGGGAGUGUUAUGUUCAUAUUUACAGACUGAGAGUGUUAUAUUUAUAAAGGAGACUCUGCUGAAUUUUCGGCAGAAUUCUCACUAAUUAGAUUAUUAUCAAGUCAGUUUUGAUGAGACUAGAUUGACUCGAUAGGGGAGAUUUGAGGCGGGUCUUUUCGUUUUAACAACUUUGCAAGACUAGAAGGAGCCAUUAAUAAACAGAAUUAGUAACCUCUCCACAAACACUAAGGUAGCGUUUACAUUUUGGAUUGAAGUAGAAAUUAUGAAAAGUGUGAAUCCUAGGAUUGAGAGUGUGGAGUGGGAGUGAGAGUAUGUUAUUUACUUACACUGGAAUGGAAGUAUGGAAUGAAGAUCAUAAUUUAAUUUAUAUAUUUACUUUGUCUUGAAUUGGGAGUAAAUAGUUUCAAAUUAUAAUUUUACCCUCAUUUAAAUAAUUGUGAUUUUUAAUUACAAAGUUAAUAAAAAAAUAUAUUUGAUGAAUAACCAUUUAUUUUAUUAUAUUUGUAAAUUUAUAAUAAUUAUUAAUAUUCUUAAUUAUGUACAUCACAAUUUUUUAUUAAUUUUAAUUAUGUAAUUAAAAAUUAUUGAUCAGGGCAAUAUAAAUGAAAUAUUUUUUACUAUUAACCUAGUACAAAAUUAAUAUUUUCUUAGCAUAAACUAUUUAUUAUUAUUAAUUACAAUAUUAAAUUAAUAUACUCUAUUAUAUAAAAUAAUAAUAUAAUAUAAUUUAGUACAAAAUUAAUAUUUUCUUAGAAUAAACUAUUUAUUAUUAUUAUUAUUAAAUAAAUAUAAUACUAUUAUUUUAAAUCAAUAUAAUAAUAUUAUAUUUUUAAAUAAAGAUAGUAUAUAGUAAUAUUAUUAAUUCUCCAUUAAUAUAAUAAUAUUAUUUUUAAGUAAUUUUAACUUAGAAUCAAUGUAAAUUAUUAUUUAGUUAAAUAUAAUAUUAUUAUUUAAAUAAAUAUAAUAUUAUUUAUUUUAUUUUAUUAAACAUAAUUAUAUUAAAUUUAAUAAAAGGAGAGUAAAAAAGGAAGAGGUGGGAGUGGGUUCUCCACCUCCCCCUGUGAGAGUCCCACUCUCACUCCCCACUCCAAAAAUAAGUGGGGCUCACGGAAUGAGAUUUCCAAUCCUCUCUUAAAAUAUGUAAAUAAACAUUAAAGUGUGAAGAAUCUACACUUCUCAUUCCCACUCUAAAAAGUAAUCACAACAUAAAUUGAUGGGCAUGUGUGCUUGCUGCAUUGACUACAAUUCCACCCAUACUUGCUCACUAACUCACGUUUCUUCUCAUACUUUGCUCACUAACUCACGUUUCUUCUCAUCCUUCUCCAACUUUUGAAGUUUUUUGGCCAAUAUGCUCGCGUUAAAUAAUAUUACAGACCGGCUUUUGUCUCCCUUCACAGUCUUAGGUUCAAAAGAUGUGUAAAUUUGUUCUUUCCAUUUUUUGUGUUUCAGCUUGUCUCUUGCUUUAAAAAAAAAAUAAUUUCCUUAUUGCACAAAAUUACUCCUAGCAACCCAUAUAUAUAUAUAUAUAUAAUGAAAACAUAUAAAUGAAGGAUCUGAUUUCUGAUACAUGAGUUCGAUGUUAUUAUCUAUAAUUUAGGUUCCACAAGAAUAAAACUAUGCAUCAAUGUCCAAACAAUAAGAAGAUGUCCACCUUACCAAUAUUGGAAUCUUACCCCAAAAAAAUUAUAAUAUAAGACACAAAAUUAGUAGUUAAUUAGUUGUAAUUUUAAACCAAAACUUGAGACUUAUUUUAACAAUGCAAGAAUUAGUGGAAAAUGAGUGAGAGUUUGCUAACCAAAUAGUGAGAAGAACUUACGAAAAAUUAGAUCAAUUGUAAUUGAAAAGGUGCAAGAGCAAAUUUGAACAUCCAACCAAUUUUUUGAAUUUUUGUAUUAAUCAUAUUUAUAUAUGCAAUCUUCUUUAUUUUUUAACUUUAUUCGAAUUUUAUAUACUAAAGACAAAAUAAAAUAAAAAAAUUGUUUUGGAUGGUAGUAAGAUAUUCUAUUUGACUCAUUUAUUUAUAAAUAGUACAGCAGAACAUAAUGAAUUCACACUGAUAAACACCGAUUUAAAAGGAUCUGACGUCCCCAAUGAAUUCACACUGACAUGAAUUCAAACUUGUGAUUCGACUAGAUUAAAAUGAUGCAUCAAUAGCCAAACAAAAGUAAUAAGCUCUCCACCACUACUAACUUGCUCGGCAUGUGUCAUUGGGCUGCAAUGAAUUGCUCCAUAUGACAAAAUCUCCAUCCACACUUCCUCACUAUCUCCCAUUUCUUAUCCUCAUCCAGCAUUUGAAGCUCGUAGGCCAAUGCUUUUACAUCCUCAAGUGCAAAGAACUCCUUUCUAUCAUGAGGAUCCGAGAAUAGCAAAUCCAGUUCAAGCAUAAUUUUUUCACAGGCAAACUCCUCCGCACUUGGUUUUAAACUCUUUUUUCGGAAGAAUUCGUUUGCCGCAUCACGGGUGUCUCGCAGUGUAAAUUUCGUAUGACAUGCGCAGAAUUCAGCAUGGUAGGCUUUGUCAAGGCUGCUCAUUAUUCAAGCAGCUUGGUGAAGCCACGUCAGCAGAAGGUUGUUAGUGAAGAAUAACAGCUCAGCGUGAUCAGUCAAGUGUUAGUUAUCCAGCUCAUGAAAGUUAGUUAGUUAGUGAGUUACUAGCAAUUCUCACGUGUAAGGAAUAAUAUAAAUACUUGUACUGAUUUGUAAAAGNNNNNNNNNNNNNNNNNNNNNNNNNAUAUAUAUAUAUAUAUAAUGAAAACAUAUAAAUGAAGGAUCUGAUUUCUGAUACAUGAGUUCGAUGUUAUUAUCUAUAAUUUAGGUUCCACAAGAAUAAAACUAUGCAUCAAUGUCCAAACAAUAAGAAGAUGUCCACCUUACCAAUAUUGGAAUCUUACCCCAAAAAAAUUAUAAUAUAAGACACAAAAUUAGUAGUUAAUUAGUUGUAAUUUUAAACCAAAACUUGAGACUUAUUUUAACAAUGCAAGAAUUAGUGGAAAAUGAGUGAGAGUUUGCUAACCAAAUAGUGAGAAGAACUUACGAAAAAUUAGAUCAAUUGUAAUUGAAAAGGUGCAAGAGCAAAUUUGAACAUCCAACCAAUUUUUUGAAUUUUUGUAUUAAUCAUAUUUAUAUAUGCAAUCUUCUUUAUUUUUUAACUUUAUUCGAAUUUUAUAUACUAAAGACAAAAUAAAAUAAAAAAAUUGUUUUGGAUGGUAGUAAGAUAUUCUAUUUGACUCAUUUAUUUAUAAAUAGUACAGCAGAACAUAAUGAAUUCACACUGAUAAACACCGAUUUAAAAGGAUCUGACGUCCCCAAUGAAUUCACACUGACAUGAAUUCAAACUUGUGAUUCGACUAGAUUAAAAUGAUGCAUCAAUAGCCAAACAAAAGUAAUAAGCUCUCCACCACUACUAACUUGCUCGGCAUGUGUCAUUGGGCUGCAAUGAAUUGCUCCAUAUGACAAAAUCUCCAUCCACACUUCCUCACUAUCUCCCAUUUCUUAUCCUCAUCCAGCAUUUGAAGCUCGUAGGCCAAUGCUUUUACAUCCUCAAGUGCAAAGAACUCCUUUCUAUCAUGAGGAUCCGAGAAUAGCAAAUCCAGUUCAAGCAUAAUUUUUUCACAGGCAAACUCCUCCGCACUUGGUUUUAAACUCUUUUUUCGGAAGAAUUCGUUUGCCGCAUCACGGGUGUCUCGCAGUGUAAAUUUCGUAUGACAUGCGCAGAAUUCAGCAUGGUAGGCUUUGUCAAGGCUGCUCAUUAUUCAAGCAGCUUGGUGAAGCCACGUCAGCAGAAGGUUGUUAGUGAAGAAUAACAGCUCAGCGUGAUCAGUCAAGUGUUAGUUAUCCAGCUCAUGAAAGUUAGUUAGUUAGUGAGUUACUAGCAAUUCUCACGUGUAAGGAAUAAUAUAAAUACUUGUACUGAUUUGUAAAAGCUUUAUGAAUUGAAUCUUAUCAAAUACAAGUAUUGAGAAUUUUCUCUUUGAUUUUCUAUUCAACCAAACAGCACAUCUCUGUUUUCUUUCUUGGUAUUAGAGCCACAAAUGGCCAGCUCAAGCAAUACAAUCUCAAAUCAAACAAUCAUUAACUCAAAUCAACAUACACAAACAUCAUUUACUUUUGCUGCAACUGUGAAACUUGAUCGAUUGAAUUUCUUACUUUGGCGCAAACAAGUGGUAACUUCAAUCAGAGGAAAUCGCCUUGAAAGAUUCAUUCUAGAGCCGCAAAUUAUUCCAGAACAGUAUCUAGUUGAUUCAACAAUCGAAGGAUCUGGUGAGAGCAUUGAAAAUCCAGUCUAUAGUAACUGGAGAGCACAAGAUCAAAUACUCCUUGGCUGGCUGCUCUCAACUAUAAGUGAAGGUAUUCUUAGUUCUGUUCUUAGCUAUGACACUUCAUUUGAUGUGUGGAGAUCUAUUGAAAAACAAUUUGGAGUUCAAUCUGAGGCUAAGAUUAUGCAACUCAGAUAUGAAAUGAACAUCUUAAGAAAAGAUUCGAUGAAUGUUGAGGAAUAUUGUGCUAAAAUGAAAUUACUCGCCAAUAAACUUGCUUGUGCUGGUGAUGUAAUCACUGAAAAGGAUCUGUUAAUGAGAGUUUUGAAUGGUUUAGGUUCAGGUUAUCUAGAUCUAACUUCCAUAAUCACUGCAAAUAAGAUGAGCUAUGAUGAUGCUUAUGCAUUGUUACUGACUCAUGAAGCUAGACUUGAACAAAAUCAAAGUGCCAAAACUGUGUUUAAUGCAAACUAUAGCACAAUGAAUGUGAAUCAUCCCUAUAUGAGAGGAAAUUUUAGAAGAGGUGUUGUUGGAAAUGGAAAUUAUGGUCGACCUGUGACUAGAGGAUUUAAUGUUGGAAGAGGCAUGUUUCACAAUCCACAUUCCAGAGGUUUUUCACCUGGUGUUGGUAAUGUUGGGGGUUAUGGCAGGGGCCAGAUGAUGCAACCUUUUAGGCCACCUAUGAAGCCAAACUUUCAUCCUUCAGCUAACAUGCAUGCUGAUGAAUUACCAACCAUAUGUCAGAUAUGCCACAAAAUAGGACAUGCAGCAGAUGAAUGCUGGCAUUGAUAUGAUGACAAUCACCUAGGCAUUUUGGAAGGGGCAGGUCUUUUGGAUCUAAGGCUGCAUACACAGCUAACUUUGAUCUAUCUCUCACUUAUGCUGCUCCUUCAACUGAAGAACAAUAUGCUGCACCCUACUCAACCUACAAUCCCUUAUCCUACUCCUCUUAUCCAUCAACAGACACAGUCAUUCCUGAAGCCUAUCUUACCAACUAUGAAGGGCCUGCUGAUGAAGGGUGGUACCUUGAUAGUGGUGCCACACAUCACUUGACUAAUAGUAUGGCCAAGAUGAAUGUCAGAGAGGAAUUCAGAGGAUCUGAUCAACUUGUCAUCGGCAAUGGCCAAGGUUUGCCUAUAACUCAUAUUGGUAAUGCAUGUUUUACUUAUAAAGGAUCAAUUGCUGCACAUAAACCAACACAUAUACUACUUAAAGACAUGUUAUUAGUACCUGAUAUCACAAAGAACCUGCUUAGCAUAUCAAAAUUAACUGCAGAUAACCAUCUCUCUAUUGAAUUUGUUGAUAAUGUUUGCUAUGUGAAGGAUUCUCUGAAGAGGCAAGUGCUUCUGACAGGAAUUGCUGAGAAAGGAUUGUAUAAGCAGCUUCUAAGACCAUCUGAGUCUCUUCCUUG
rnacentral:lncRNA from 1 species